rnacentral:rRNA from 1 species
UACGUAGGGGGCUAGCGUUGUCCGGAAUCAUUGGGCGUAAAGCGCGCGUAGGCGGCCCGGUAAGUCCGCUGUGAAAGUCGGGGGCUCAACCCUCGGAUGCCGGUGGAUACUGUCGGGCUAGAGUGCGGAAGAGGCGAGUGGAAUUCCUGGUGUAGCGGUGAAAUGCGCAGAUAUCAGGAGGAACACCAGUGGCGAAGGCGGCGAUCUGGGAAGAUACUGACGCUGAGGUGCGAAAGCGUGGGGAGCAAACAGG